rnacentral:lncRNA from 1 species
UCUUGAAAAAAAAAAGAAAUUAUAGGGAAAAAAGAUAUAAGAUAAUGCAUUAUCUUAUAUUCAAAAACUUAAAUUUUUUUUUUUGUUUUAUACGAAUAACGGGCUACAUGUGUCCCAUAUGGGCUAGCCCGUAUUUUAAACUGAAUAUUAUGAUCGGGCUAAAAGCCAUAAAAAAGAAUCGGGCUAAUAUUUUAAGGUUCAAACUCUAUAUAUAUUCGGGUUUGGCAAGACAACCAAACAAGUUAGUCUAUUUUAACAGCUCUACAUUAAAAAUCAAUAAUUGUGUAUUUUUUUAAUAAGAAAUUGUGUAUUUUCUUUAUUAUAGUUGCAAAACAAAUUA